rnacentral:tRNA from 1 species
UGGGGUGUGGCUCAGCAGUUGAGCACUUGCCUUGCACAUAGGAGGCCCUGGGUUCGAUCCUCAGUACCACAU